ACACCAACCAGCAUGUUUAUUUUGUGCACAGGAGGAAAUUUGCGCUGAGAUAAGUAUUCUUUUAAACCUGUUUUUGAAAUUUAACUUAAUAUUGUAAUACUUGUUUGUGCUUGUAAUUGUUUUUUAUGCAAACUCAAGUGUCUUAUCAAACUAUUUUACGUUGUAAGCAAAGCAUUGUAGCAAAAAUGUUUGUUUCCUUGAGUUCGGACAAUCUAACGAGUUGUUUUGUUUCAUCUUGUAGUACGGCGCUAUUUACUGAAAAGUGUCACUAUUUUACUGAAAAGUGUCGAUGCUAUUUUUUUUUAAAUCAUAUUUUGGAUCAGAAAGUUAUUGUGAUCCAUAACGUAGUUAUGUAAGCUGCCUUUACUUAAUAUAGGCAUUAGAGUCCUAUAUUGGAUAUUCAAUCACGUUGCUAGAAAUUUCUUCUUUAGUUUUUCGUUUUUAAAUUCAUUAAAAAUCUUGAUUUUAUUUUAUGAUUAAAACAAAUUAAAGCAAGAUUAAGAUGCAUCAGUUCAUCAGCAGCAUCAGUACAACUUUAUAACAAGUAUAAGGUUAGACUCUUAAAAGUUUUAGAUUAGCUUUAGUUAGAAACUUCUAUAUAUGUUUACUUCAUGUAUAAUAAUUUACCAGUAAUUUUGAAAUUUAACUUCUGAACAUAUUUUUGCUUCGUCGUAGACCAAAAAUCAACAGCUUAAAAUUGAAAUUUAUCCAGGACAGAAUUAACUUUUGUCAAGACGCUUCUUAGUUAGGAUUCACUGAAUAGUUGGUUAAUCUUUCAAUAUACUGCAUAUUUGGCAGACAAACAGAAUAUUUGGUUUGAUUGAAUACUUUAAUAAUUCAGUGACGCAAUGCGUAGCAAAUUUAUUUUCAACACUUAGUAAACAUAUUUUUUCAUAUAAUGAAUGAAAGUUUUAACGUAGUUAAAAAUUAGUUUGAGUUGUUGCCGUCUAAUACUGUCAAACCUGGUUUAUAAGAAAGCACUUAAAAUUAAUUUCUGCUUGGACAAACUGCAUUUGAGAUCCCUAAUCCCGGUCCUACUGUUGAUGAUUUUCCAAAUAAGAUGAUCUGCUUUAAACAAUAUGGUUUUAAAGGUCCCUCUGAUAUUGUUUUAACGAGUUUCAAAUGUGCUAUCAUAUUCAAAACAAUUUUAACGUAAGAGAAAACACUCAGGUGGUAAUUUCAAAUUUUAUUAUUUUCAAUUUUUCGUAAUUUUUAUGACAUGUCUAUAUCUGAGAGUCAGAACAAGGUAACUCACAAUAUCGUGAGGAGACAGCUAAAAUGGUUGUCAAAGAUGGAAUGCACCUGCCUUUAAGAACAAAAUAAGAUGCCUUCUUUGCACUAAGAUUUUCAAGUAGGAGAGUGGAAUUGCAAGUCCUUUCUCAUCACAGAGCAAAAUGAGAAAAUAUCUACUGAAAAGAGGGAAGGACUCCUCUGGAAUUGAGACCGAGAUGAAGAGAAGGAACAAAUAUUUAUCCGAUAAAAUUCAGAAUCUGCGUUACAAUAAAGUUUAAUUGAAUAAAUUUGAUUUUAAGUGUU